UACGUAGGGUGCGAGCGUUGUCCGGAAUUAUUGGGCGUAAAGGGCUCGUAGGCGGUCUGUCGCGUCGGGAGUGAAAACCAGGUGCUUAACACCUGGCUUGCUUUCGAUACGGGCAGACUAGAGGUAUUCAGGGGAGAACGGAAUUCCUGGUGUAGCGGUGAAAUGCGCAGAUAUCAGGAGGAACACCGGUGGCGAAGGCGGCUCACUGGCCCGGUACUGACGCUGAGGUGCGAAAGCGUGGGGAGCAAACAGG
rnacentral:rRNA from 1 species